UACGUAGGGUGCGAGCGUUGUCCGGAAUUAUUGGGCGUAAAGAGCUCGUAGGCGGUUUGUCGCGUCGGCCGUGAAAACUUGGGGCUUAACUCCAAGCUUGCGGUCGAUACGGGCAGACUUGAGUUCGGCAGGGGAGACUGGAAUUCCUGGUGUAGCGGUGAAAUGCGCAGAUAUCAGGAAGAACACCGGUGGCGAAGGCGGGUCUCUGGGCCGAUACUGACGCUGAGGAGCGAAAGCGUGGGGAGCGAACAGG
rnacentral:rRNA from 1 species